UACGUAGGGGGCAAGCGUUAUCCGGAUUUACUGGGUGUAAAGGGAGCGUAGACGGCGAAGAAAGUCUGAAGUGAAAGCCCGCGGCUCAACCGCGGAAUGGCUUUGGAAACUUUUUUGCUGGAGUGCCGGAGAGGUAGGCGGAAUUCCUAGUGUAGCGGUGAAAUGCGUAGAUAUUAGGAGGAACACCAGUGGCGAAGGCGGCCUACUGGACGGUGACUGACGCUGAGGCUCGAAAGCGUGGGGAGCAAACAGG
rnacentral:rRNA from 1 species